UUCCUGAUGUUUAGUCGGAAUCUCCUUUCUUGUAACUUGAAUCCAUUGGUUCGAGUCCUGCCCUCCAGAACAGAAGGAAGCAAGCCUGCUCCAUCUUCCAAGUGACAACCCUUAAGAUAUUUAAAGAUGGCUAUCAUAUCUUCUCUCUGUUCCCUCUUCUCCAAGCUAAACAUACCUAGCUCCUUCAACC